rnacentral:rRNA from 1 species
GGCGGCAUGCUUACACAUGCAAGUCGAACGGUAGAGUAGCAAUACUCGAGAGUGGCGAACGGGUGAGUAUAUAUCGGAACGUGCCCAGUCGUGGGGGAUAACGUAGAGAAAUUUACGCUAAUACCGCAUACGAUCUACGGAUGAAAGCGGGGGAUUCGCAGGAACCUCGCGCGAUUGGAGCGGCUGAUAUCAGAUUAGGUUGUUGGUGAGGUAAAAGCUCACCAAGCCGACGAUCUGUAGCUGGUUUGAGAGAACGACCAGCCACACUGGGACUGAGACACGGCCCAGACUCCUACGGGAGGCAGCAGUGGGGAAUUUUGGACAAUGGGCGAAAGCCUGAUCCAGCAAUGCCGCGUGUGGGAAGAAGGCCUUCGGGUUGUAAACCACUUUUGUACGGAACGAAACGGUUCGCUUUAAUACAGUGGGCUAAUGACGGUACCGUAAGAAUAAGCACCGGCUAACUACGUGCCAGCAGCCGCGGUAAUACGUAGGGUGCGAGCGUUAAUCGGAAUUACUGGGCGUAAAGCGUGCGCAGGCGGUUAUAUAAGACAGUUGUGAAAUCCCCGGGCUCAACCUGGGAAUUGCAUCUGUGACUGUAUAGCUAGAGUACGGUAGAGGGGGAUGGAAUUCCGCGUGUAGCAGUGAAAUGCGUAGAUAUGCGGAGGAACACCGAUGG